GUGUGUGUGUGUGUGUUCGUGUGUGUGUGUGUGUGUGUGUAUGCGUGGGCGCGCAUGCGUGGUUUUCUUGCAGGGCACCGGCAGCACUGCUCUUGGUGGGGAAGGGGAGACAGAUGGCUGGCUGAGGAUCCCCACACUGCGGGGAGAAUCUCCAAUGCUGACCCCACCCCCUCUGCAUCCUGAUGGAGGAGUUGGAGAAGACCCUGGUCACUGGAUAACCCUUCUUCAAGGAGUCUCUCCCCUGCAGACAGGGAGUGGGGAUGCAGGGAGGAAUCAUGGCUUCCACCCCACAGGUUACAGCGGGGUGGGGGAAUACCCAGGCCCACGGUCACAGUAGAAACACUUCAGAAGUCUGAGCCAAACCCCGCUGUCUCCUGAGAGAGAACGCCAGGGACAGAGGCUGGAGGAAGUGUGUGCCUGAUGGGAAGUUUCAAUCCAUUCUGUAAGAAUUUCCUGAAAACAGACUGUGUGCCAGUUUUUAUGGCCUCUGCCCCAGAAAAGCACGCAUGGCAAUGAAAUGACACUGGGGGGAGGGGAGGGUGCACCCACCCUGACGGUCCAUGGAUGGAGGCCAGGGUACUUUAGGACCUCUGAAGACAGCAAAGCAGUUUCUGGUAAUCUCUGAGGAGGUGGCAUUUGUUCCAGAAAAAAGGACCCCCCAACCCCAUCCCACAGCCUCACCAGACCCUAAAGUCAGAAUAACCGGCCCAGCUACAGCCCCUGCGGUCGUGCUUAGCCACUACAGAGGCUGCUAUUUCCCCAGCCAGUGUCCCUGGCAGCCUUGGAAACCAAUGAAGCAGGCUCUGACACAGGAAUCCCUCUGCAUCUUUAUCACUGGAAAAGCCUCGAUCCAGCCCAGGCAGAGAGCGGCGGAUUUUAAAAAGGAAGGUUUCUCUUUGUGAAGGAAAUGAACAUGAUUCAGCACAAGAGCCGAUCAGGAAUGUGGAGGCCAGACUCUCCCAUCAGGCUCCGCUCCCCUCCCGCCACCUCGGCAGAGGCCCCAGACUGCACCUGCCGGAUGGGAUCCCGUAGUGCCACAGAGCCUGGGCACCAUGCCACUCCUCUCUCCAAGAACACCACCGCCUGGCAGGCUGCCAGGAACAGCCAAGCCCUGUGGACAUCACUCCCAGAAAUCCAACCACACGGAAAGCAAACGUGCUGUGUCUCAUGACAGUACUAACAAGCCUGGUAAAUCAGCCCACAGUUGCACAGCCGUAGCUGGGGAAUCCAAGUGCUUUCUGAGGACACACUGACGACAGCAGCAGACACACACGCGUACGCACAUCUUCACGGCACACAGACUCACUAAGGUAUGCCACGAGCCUACAGGUUUUCAAUACCAUACAGUGGAUAACAGUGGUGGUGGUGGGUCUCCGCCCUCAGGAAGCACUUGACCUUAUCUGACAAACAAAAGGAACAUCAGGGAAAAACUCUGCAUGGAUUGAAUGCCUCCCAGUGUGGCAGGAACUAAGAGCCACAUGGAUCUCUGAGCUUCGGCUGACAUGCCCAGGAAGGUGGCCCUGGAAAGGUAGUAACGACCUGUCCAGUCUCCACAUCUCCAGGGAGUCUCCAGGUGUCUGUCCAUUGCUCAGCUCCACUUGAGGGGAGAGAGAGCCAGUGGAGGGCAGGAGAACUGGCAUCCAGGUCUCCAUGAGGUAUAAGCUCUCUUCUUGCAAACAGAACACCAGAAGGACGCAUCUUGGGACCCAUCCACUGAGUGCCACUGAG